UACGGGGGGAGCAAGCGUUGUUCGGAUUUACUGGGCGUAAAGGGCGCGUAGGCGGUCACGACAAGUCAGUUGUGAAAUCUCCGGGCUUAACUCGGAACGGUCAACUGAUACUGUCGGACUAGAGUGCAGAAGGGGCAACUGGAAUUCUCGGUGUAGCGGUGAAAUGCGUAGAUAUCGAGAGGAACACCUGCGGCGAAGGCGGGUUGCUGGGCUGACACUGACGCUGAAGCGCGAAAGCUAGGGUAGCAAACGGG
rnacentral:rRNA from 1 species